rnacentral:rRNA from 1 species
UGCCAGCCGCCGCGGUAAUACGUAUGUGGCAAGCGUUGUCCGGAAUUACUGGGCGUAAAGCGCGCGUAGGCGGAUUUGUAAGUCAGGUGUGAAAUCCCACAGCUUAACUGUGGAACUGCGCUUGAAACUACUUAUCUUGAGUCCGAUAGAGGAAAGGAGAAUUUCACAUGUAGGGGUAAAAUCCGUAGAGAUGUGAAGGAACGCUCGAGGCGAAAGCGCCUUCCUGGAUGAGUAUUGACGCUGAGGCGCGAAAGCGUGGGGAGCAAACAGGAUUAGAUA